AUUGAACGCUGGCGGCAGGCCUAACACAUGCAAGUCGAGCGGAGCGGCGGCCGGGGGCGUAAUGCCUAGGUCUCUGCCUGGUAGUGGGGGAUAACGUCCGGAAACGGGCGCUAUUACCGCAUCCUAUCAGAUGAGCAUAGGUCGGAUUAGCUAGUUGGUGGGGUAAAGGCCUACCAAGGCGACGAUCCCUAGCUGGUCUGAGAGGAUGACCAGCCACACUGGAACUGAGACACGGUCCAGACUCCUACGGGAGGCAGCAGUGGGGAAUAUUGCACAAUGGGCGCAAGCCUGAUACAGCCAUGCCGCGUGUAUGAAGAAGGCCUUCGGGUUGUAAAGUACUUUCAGCGGGGAGGCGUUACCCGCAGAAGAAGCACCGGCUAACUCCGUGCCAGCAGCCGCGGUAAUAC
rnacentral:rRNA from 1 species